rnacentral:tRNA from 1 species
UCGGGUAUGGUGUAGCGGUAACAUCGUUGACUCUCACUUCUCAGAAGUGAAUGAUCUCAACAGCCCCGGGUUCGACUCCCGGUAUCCGAG